CCUACGGGAGGCAGCAGUGGGGGAUAUUGCACAAUGGGGGAAACCCUGAUGCAGCGACGCCGCGUGAGUGAAGAAGCGCCUCGGCGCGUAAAGCCCUGUCAGCAGGGACGAAGAUGGCGAUGGCUGAAGAAGAAUCACCGGCUAACUACGUGCCAGCAGCCGCCGUAAUACGUAGGGGGCGAGCUUUAUCCGGAUUUACUGGGGGUAAAGGGGGCGCAGGCGGCGGUGCAAGCCAGGAGUGAAAGCACGGGGCCCAACCUCGGGACUGCUCUUGGAACUGUGUGGCUAGAGUGCAGGAGGGGCAGGCGGAAUUCCUGGUGUAGCGGUGAAAUGCGUAGAUAUUAGGAGGAACACCGGGGGCGAAGGCGGUCUGCUGGACUGCAACUGACGUUGAGGCCCGAAAGCGUGGGGAGCAAACAGGAUUAGAUACCCGGGUAGUC
rnacentral:rRNA from 1 species